CUCGCGUUUGAAGACGACGAGAGUCAAAAAAAUUGUGGAUAUGAUGAUGGAACGGUCUGAAGUAUGACAAGAGGAGCAUGCUCACCGAGGACUAAAUCGCGUAACGACCGCGAACAAGGUUAAUGGCAAGGAACGCCCGUCGGGGCAAACAUUACCAGAAUCAGGAGGGGGCGACCAGGGGUUUCUCCACAAACCCUAAUUCUCACAAAAUCCUCCAAAUUGAAGCUCAAAUCAAGCCCGAAUCGUCUGCAUGAUUACAAAUUCGUGAUCUCCAUUGAAAGGGGAGUCAUAAGUUUGACUCUUGACGAGCUAGGUGAAGCUUGGAGGAGAAGAUCAAACGGGAUAAAGGCACGAAUAAGACUUGCUUGGAUGAAAGGGGCGAAUAGUAAUUUGGGUAAUUGCGUCGCCAUAAGAAUAUCGAUAAUGAAAGCAAGGAGUCGAAACGGGUCAUUAGGUUGACUCGAGCCAGGUGAAUGUCGAGAGUCCCGGAUGAAGAUCAAGCAUCGAACAAGAACCGAACACACGUUAAACAAAGCUUCCGCAACGUUGUUUUGUCGUUAUUCUAAACGGCGAAUUAAAUCACAUUAUGUAUAUCACUUAAAUUGUAAAAGUUUUUAACAACCCGUAUUUCUAAUGUAUAUGUAAUUAUUAAUUACAUGAUUAUUUCGCUAAAUAUACGUUAAACCUUGAUUUAUAAGAACGGGUGU
rnacentral:lncRNA from 1 species